rnacentral:tRNA from 1 species
GCAUUGGUGGUUCAAUGGUAGAAUUCUCACCUUCCAUGCAGGAGACCCAGAUUCAGUUCCUGGCCAAGGCA